rnacentral:rRNA from 1 species
AUUGAACGCUGGCGGCAGGCCUAACACAUGCAAGUCGAACGGUAACAGGAAGAAGCUUGCUUCUUUGCUUACGAGUGGCGGACGGGUGAGUAAUGUCUGGGAAACUGCCUGAUGGAGGGGGAUAACUACUGGAAACGGUAGCUAAUACCGCAUAACGUCGCAAGACCAAAAAGGGGGACCUUCGGGCCUCUUGCCAUCGGAUGUGCCCAGAUGGGAUUAGCUAGUAGGUGGGGUAACGGCUCACCUAGGCGACGAUCCCUAGCUGGUCUGAGAGGAUGACCAGCCACACUGGAACUGAGACACGGUCCAGACUCCUACGGGAGGCAGCAGUGGGGAAUAUUGCACAAUGGGCGCAAGCCUGAUGCAGCCAUGCCGCGUGUAUGAAGAAGGCCUUCGGGUUGUAAAGUACUUUCAGCGGGGAGGAAGGGAGUAAAGUUAAUACCUUUGCUCAUUGACGUUACCCGCAGAAGAAGCACCGGCUAACUCCGUG